rnacentral:tRNA from 3 species
GCCGACUUAGCUCAGCUGGUAGAGCAGCUCCCUCGUAAAGAGCAGGUCACCGGUUCAAAUCCGGUAGUCGGCUCCA